AGAAAAAUCAACUCCUUAAUCUGGCCCAGGUUUGCAUGAGUGCUUAUUUGGUAGGAUUGAGAAGAAGGAACAAGAAGAUGAACGAGGCAGGACUGCAUCUUUAAUGGAGAAGAAGCAUCCUGCUUCACUGAUUAUUUUCUGGACUUUAAAAGGGCAUUGCCAGGACAGCCAUCUUUGUUCUACUCUGAAACAGUAGAAUACCUCUCCAAGUGCAUGGUAUAAUUCAGACUCAAAAAAAUAACAGGAACUCAGUGCAAGGAAACCCAGUUCUGCCAUCAAACUGCUGACAUGCUGUAUUGCUUUGCUUAGGACUUUCACUACAGUCAUGCCUGUCAGUUCAUCUACUUUUGAGAAGUCUGACAUGUCUGUUACAAUGAGAUAUUUCAUAUAUCGUUUGUUGUGAAGAUCCCGUUCAUGAUUCUGUCAGGGUCUUGGCUACAAAAGUCACUGUUUCUUGGGUUGCAUUUCAUUAAGUAUCUCACCCAUCCACCAGACCUCAACUACUGUUAUUAAUCUUAGUCCGUCUUCCUUAACCAUCUAGAUAGAUUUUGUUCUAGAUAAGUGUGUUCCUGAAAGAAGCUUUGUAUUUGGAUAUGUGGAAGCAGUAUUGUGCAUUUCCUAUCUGUUUGUUGGAAACAAUUUAUAUGUCCAAACAAUUAAAGUAAUUCUGGUGCUGUCAAGUGGGGCUACUCUUGUGUGCUCAACUGUUUGAGCACAGUGAUGGAUCACAGCACAUGUACAUCUUUGUCUAUAGUUCCUUUCUGGAUUCUUUCCAAGCCCUCACUUGAACCUAGCACCUAACUGACAUGGACAAUGUUUAAUUUUCUGAAUCUGUUAUGUUCAUGAUCCUGUUCUGCUCAGGAUGAGCAUCCAGACAAGCAGAACCUGAUUUCUUUCUGGACAUGCAUGUUUCUAAAGCUAAUUCUUGAGGUUUCACUAGCAAAACUGAGGGUUUGGAGGAGCAAUUGGCAGUAUUGUCAUGAAAGCCCUUUGAAGCUAUGAGUUAUACUCUUACAGUUUUAUCUCAAUCUUAUUUUAUUUCUUUGCUAAUUUUCUUGACUUAUUCUGGUAAACAUAUGAAGCUGCAUUAGGAACCUGCCUGCAUAGUGCUGUCUAUUCCAUCUUCAUGCUAUGAAGUAGUUUCACUUUCAGGAGAAGUGAAGUCUUCUCCUCCCUGCCACAGAGAAGUUGUCUCUCUGCAAGUGUGUGGAGAGGUUGUUGUUCACCUAGUAUAACUAGUAGCAGUCUUUAAAGGAUAAUAGGUUUUGUUAAAUCAAGCAGGUUUAUGUGGAAGUAUUUGAUAAUUUUCUCAGCUUAGUAUUUUGUUUAAAUUACUUGAACCUUUGCAAAUUCAUAGCUUGCCUAGUAUUCUCAAUGGCUGCCUUGAUAUUUACUUAGCAAUGAUGGGGCUGUUUUGUUUUGCUCUGUUUUGUUUUUCCUCAUUUGCUUUAUUGCUCCCAAUAUUUUGGGGUUUUGUUUGUUUUAAUGCAAUGGGUGUUCUGCAAGACAGGUGUUGUACAGUCUGAAUUGUUCUAUUUAUUUCCAGGUGUAACAUCCUUGGAAGACAUCCCAGUCUUUCAGAUACAGCUUAGUAAUUUUUAGAAGCUUUUCUAUAGAGAUACCAUAGAGAAUUGCCUGUUGUGAGUUUUUUGUGUUUUGCUCAUUUGUGUAAUUUAUUAAUUUUUUCUCUAGGUUCGUAAGUUCACUUAGUUCAGCUGGUAGCUGUGUCUCAUGUAUUUUUACAAUCUAUGUACUUUUUUGGUAUUCUGAUUAUAAUUUGCUUAUUUUCAUAUCAUUAUGGUUGUGCAGCAAUAAAAUUUUAAUUUGGU
rnacentral:lncRNA from 7 species